ACUCCUACGGGAGGCAGCAGUGGGGAAUAUUGCACAAUGGGGGAAACCCUGAUGCAGCCAUGCCGCGUGUGUGAAGAAGGCCUUGGGUUGUAAAGCACUUUCAGUAGGGAGGAAGGUAGUGUAGUUAACACCUGCACUAUUUGACGUUACCUACAGAAGAAGCACCGGCUAACUCCGUGCCAGCAGCCGCGGUAAUACGGAGGGUGCGAGCGUUAAUCGGAAUUACUGGGCGUAAAGCGCAUGCAGGCGGCCUGUUAAGUCAGAUGUGAAAGCCCGGGGCUUAACCUCGGAAUUGCAUUUGAAACUGGCAGGCUAGAGUCUUGUAGAGGGGUUAGAAUUUCAGGUGUAGCGGUGAAAUGCGUAGAGAUCUGAAGGAAUACCAGUGGCGAAGCGGCCCCUGGACAAAGACUGACGCUCAGAUGCGAAAGCGUGGGAGCAAACAGGAUUAGAUACCCCUGGUAGCACAGAG
rnacentral:rRNA from 1 species